GACAUAGGUGGCGAACGUUAUCCGGAAUUAUUGGGCGUAAAGAGCUCGUAGGCGGUCUGUCGCGUCGGCUGUGAAAACCCGGGGCUCAACCCCGGGCCUGCAGUCGAUACGGGCAGACUAGAGUGCGGUAGGGGAGACUGGAAUUCCUGGUGUAGCGGUGAAAUGCGCAGAUAUCAGGAGGAACACCGGUGGCGAAGGCGGGUCUCUGGGCCGUAACUGACGCUGAGGAGCGAAAGCGUGGGGAGCGAACAGG
rnacentral:rRNA from 1 species